AUUGAACGCUGGCGGCAGGCCUAACACAUGCCAGUCGAGCGGAUGAAGGGAGCUUGCUCCUGGAUUCAGCGGCGGACGGGUGAGUAAUGCCUAGGAAUCUGCCUGGUAGUGGGGGAUAACGUCCGGAAACGGGCGCUAAUACCGCAUACGUCCUGAGGGAGAAAGUGGGGGAUCUUCGGACCUCACGCUAUCAGAUGAGCCUAGGUCGGAUUAGCUAGUUGGUGGGGUAAAGGCCUACCAAGGCGACGAUCCGUAACUGGUCUGAGAGGAUGAUCAGUCACACUGGAACUGAGACACGGUCCAGACUCCUACGGGAGGCAGAAGUGGGGAAUAUUGGACAAUGGGCGAAAGCCUGAUCCAGCCAUGCCGCGUGUGUGAAGAAGGUCUUCGGAUUGUAAAGCACUUUAAGUUGGGAGGAAGGGCAGUAAGUUAAUACCUUGCCGUUUUGACGUUACCAACAGAAUAAGCACCGGCUAACUUCGUG
rnacentral:rRNA from 1 species